rnacentral:lncRNA from 1 species
GGGCCUACUAGCUACUCUUCGCGGCACAAAUUUCGAAUUUUUGCUCUUUUGUUCGUUGAGUAAGUAUUCAGGCCGAUCUUACGUGUUAGUUGCUUAUGUGUUUCGAUAUGUAUGAAAAGGGUACCUAGGCGAGGGUGUAUUUUAUCGCACUCGACCUAAACCCUAAUUUGCGUACAUAUUUGUACAUGACAUAUGUAUAUGAAUCAUUUUGGAACUAAACCCCUUGAGCUUGUGGCUCGGGGUGACUUUUGAAUAAAUUUUGUGAAUUUUGUGAGUUUGGGGCCCGAUCUCAUGACCUAGAUGGGCUAUUCGAGCCGAUUAGGGCUUGGUCGAAAUCAGUCCAACCUAGUUGAGGUCACCAAGUUUGUGAAUCCGGUUCAUCGAGUAUGUGGACCAAGUUUGUGACCCGAGCUUGUGAGCCAAACUCAAUUUCGUUCGCUCGAGCAAGUUUGUGAGGUGUCUAGCCAGAGAGGGUGAUAAAGUGUACGGUGGGGAGAACAAGUGGAGUUCUACGGACCAUUAAUUGUGGUCGACGGAGUUUCGGCAGGAGAUCAUACAUGGCACAUGAAUUGGCUUUGGAGCCACCUGUAUCCUUAUUAUGUGAUGUUACUUUUCUGCUUUUGCUUUACUCUUACUGUGUAACUGUUGUUACGUGAAAUUUACGCUUUUGCCCCUGUUUACUUACUAAGCAUAUAACUUACCCCUUUCCUUUUGUUUUCCUUAGAAGGGGCCGACGCGGGGACUUUUGGCAUACACUAGUAUAGUUAGCUUUGCUUGUAAUAGUUGAACAAUUAGGAUGUUUGUUUUUGUUGUGGUGGUUUAUAUAAGGACCCUCCUUAGGGUCUACAUUUUGGUUUUGGUUGUAAUGAUAAGGAUGUAAUAGUGUGAGCAGGUACUUUUGGAGAAUGUAAUUAUAACUCUUUUGGGAUUGUAUAUAGUAUGUAUAGUACUCUUUUGGAUUUUCUGGCUUUUAUUGUUUUAAGUUUUGAGUCCUGGCGCGAGCUAGGCAGGCGGCCCGCCGAUACCCUUGGGUUCGCCCUUGGGAGAAGUGGGGUCGUCACAGUUGGUAUCAGAGCCAGGUUAGGGGACUUGGGCAAAUGGGACAUACGUGAUAGGCACUAGGCAUAUUUGAUUCUUUUAAGUUGAAUGAUAUACUUUAAGCUGAAAUGCCGGUAAACUGAUGAAUUAAUGUUUUGUAAGUAUGUAUCCGGGCAGUUCGAGUGGUGCAGGACCCAGUGGCAUGAGACCGAAACCUCCGAGUGCGAGGGGUCCAGAGGAUCGAGCACUGCGUAAGCGGGCUUCCGUUAUCGACAGAGACCUGGAGAGCCUUACACUUUGUACUCCCCUUUUGGUCAGGUGUCACACCGACCUUAUAGGUGUUGGUAUACGUAUAGUUAUCCUGACGAGGUCGUCCUGGCAGUGGACGAUGAGCGACGCAGUCUGAUUAGUCAGCUAGAGGAGGCCAGAGAGGUUGGCCAUGGGCAGGAGUUGCGUAUUAGGGCCUUGGAGCUGGGCCUCCGAGAUGAGAUGGAGAGGGCGGACGCUUUACGCCGUCAGCUUCAGGACACACACCAGCACCUCUUCGCUAUGAAGAGGCAGCUGAGGGAUAGGGCCCGGAGUAUGUCUGUCGACUGCGAGCUCCUACUAGAUCUAGCCGCAGAGGCACCGCCACGAGCCACCGGUCCAGAGAGGAUGGACGAGGUGGACACGUUAGGUUCCGUUGGGAACCUGGGCCUUAGGGGAGGCGAUUAGGGUUGCUUUUGUACUUUUGUUUAGCUAGUGGAUGACUUUUGUUAGAACUAGCAUGACUACUUUCUUUUGUUAUCUGGUUGACUGAUUAGAUUUUAGAGCCGAUGCUCAUGUGUACAUUGGGUUUUGUACCGACCGGAGGUCGGUAAUCUGUAAAUCUUUUGGUGUGACUUUGUAAAUAUAUGUAUAUAUUUGAAUAGUAUUUUGAACUUAUCUUUUGUGUCUUCUGUGCAUACGCUUUACGUCUGUACUUUUGUUCAUAGUCUGGAGAAUAAGUAUAUGUAAUGUUCCGAUCUAUAGACUUUUGCAUUUAAAUGGCCUCCGGUACUCGAGGUGGAGGUAGAGGGCGAGCACGAAGCCCUGAAAGGGAACAAGGACAAGAGCCAGAUCAAGUCGCUACAGCCAUCCAGUGGAUGGCCGAUCUAUUAGAGCGAAUGUCAAAUCAACAAGGCCAGGGGAGCAGUACUGGGAAUCCUGGACAUAAUCCGGGACAUAAUCCGGAAGAGGACCGUGCUUUAGAACGGUUCCAAAAAUUUGCACCUCCUAAGUUUAUAGGUGGACCCAAUCCUGACCUAGCAGAGGCCUGGAUGGACCGUAUGUUAGACAUAUUUGCCGCGCUUAGGUAUUCGGAGGAGCGGCAGAUAUCUUUUGCUGUUUUUCAGUUUGAAGGGACCGCUCGAACCUGGUGGAACAUGAUUAAAACCAAGUGGGAGCGCGAACAAACCCCCUGGACCUGGAUCAACUUUACACGAGAAUUUAAUGAAAAAUAUCUACCACCCAUUGUGCAAGAAAAACGGGAAGAUGAUUUUAUCCGCCUGCGUCAAGAGGCAUCUAGUCUGGCGGAGUAUGAGACUCAGUUCACUAAACUCUCUCGCUUUGCCCCAGAGCUAGUACUAACAGAGCAAAAGCGGAUUCGCCGUUUUACCCAAGGCUUGAAUGUAGAGAUUCAGGAAGCACUAGCGGCUGCACAGCUGGACACCUUUAGCCAGGCACUAGAAAAAGCACAGCGGAUUGAGACUGCCAGGGGACAGGUUAAAGCCUUUCAUGACCGGAAAAGGAGGCAACCCAGCUCGAACGAUUCCCCGGUUGGACAGAGCUCGCGAAACGAGCCACCUGCUAAAACGAGUAAAGGCACAGAUGGUCCACGACCUACAGGAACCCAGAAUAGCUUUGGGCGAGGUCAGAUAGUGCAAGAGCCCCAGAGGAGUGCCCAGCGUGGAGGGUCAGGUACGGCCACUAAGCCAACCUGUGAUUUCUGUGGGGGCAAUCACACCGAUGAAAAUUGUUGGAAAAAUAGUUCGGUACGGAAAUGCUUCAAAUGUGGUAGCACUGAACAUUUGAUUGUCCGGUGCCCUAAGAUGCAGAAGGAAGGACUCAAACCACCAACAGAAGGGACCACAACGAAGCCAUCAAACGCAGGGGAAAAUCGACCCAAAGGGCCAGCAAGAGUGUAUGCAAUGGAUCAACACGAAGUGACUGACCCUUCGGCGGGUUUCGAAGGUAUGCUUUGACCAAAGAAUUAAUUUCGAGGAGGAAAUUGUCCUAAGUGGGGGAGAUUGUGAGGCCCCAGUCCGUUCGUAAGACGAUAUUAGGGUUAUUCAUUAUUUUGUACGGUCAAAUUAUGGUUGUAGGGCUAAGGAGAAACCCUAAUCUCGGCUAAGAUUGAAAACCCUAACUUUAGAAAGUUGUAGCCUUAUAAGUCCUGAAUAUGCCUGUAAAUUUUCAGGUGAAUCGGAUUAGCGUUUCCGGAGUUAUAGAUGAAAUACUCAAGUCUGUUUUGAACAUCAGAUUCUGUGCGUUUUUGGUUUAGCUUCUGACCAUGACUUUUUCGAUUUUGAUCCCGUAUGAUCUGGGUGUUAACUCCUUCAUAAGAAAUGUAGAUCUUGGUCUCAGUUUCGAAACGGUAUAAAGUGCGUCGAAAUUCUAUACACUUUCGAGGGAGUCAAAAGAUAAGUUCAGCACUUUCGGGUCACAAAUUUUAUCAAACACUAAACAGGGGUAAGCUAUACUAGUGUAUGUGCCAAAAGUCACCCCGAGCCACAAGCUCAAGGGGUUUAGUUCCAAAAUGAUUCAUAUACAUAUGUCAUGUACAAAUAUGUACGCAAAUUAGGGUUUAGGUCGAGUGCGAUAAAGUACACCCUCGCCUAGGUACCCUUUUCAUACAUAUCGAAACACAUAAGCAACUAACACGUAAGAUCGGCCUGAAUACUUACUCAACGAACAAAAGAGCAAAAAUUCGAAAUUUGUGCCGCGAAGAGUAGCUAGUAGGCCCCACCGGCUCCACCUAACUUACCACCGUCUGAAAUAGAAGAUUGCAUCACAUAAUAUCAUAAACGGCUACUAAUAUACCUAAAACAAGCAAAACGGCAAAAUCGGCACAUACGAGUGCGGAAACGGCAUACGGAAACGGAAAUGGCGACCUAGCCAUUUUGCCGUCAAAAUUGUUUUGAGCCUAAUCGAAGCUACGAGUGUCGGAUCAAGGUACAUGAGGUACCGUUGCGAAGCUAAGAGAAAAGUCUAUAACUUUCAUGAAGACACCUAACUCCGGAUCGGAACAGAGAUGGGUCGAAAGUGCAGAAAACCGUUCCAGGAAUUCGCACUCUAGAGUAACGGACAAGGUAUGUUUGCUGGACUAUAACUCCCAACUCACAAAUCCAAAUCAGGAAAUUUCAAAGGCAUUAGAAAGCUGAGACAUAAGGCUAAAACUUUGAUGUUUUGGCCAAGACCUGAAUCCACUCAGAACAGAACGAAAUUUGAGUGUCAAAGUACCCGUCAGAACUGUCCAGAUCAAAGGCAGUUCUAACGAUCGAUCUUGUUUUGGUCAUAACGGAAGCUACGGAACUCGGAUUUCGACGCACUUUAUACCGUUUCGAAACUGAGACCAAGAUCUACAUUUCUUAUGAAGGAGUUGACACCCAAAUCGUACGGGAUCAAAACCGAAAAAGUCAUGGUCAGAAGCUAAACCAAAAACGCACAGAAUCUGAUUUUCAAAACAGACUUGAGUAUUUCAUCUAUAACUCCGGAUACGCUAAUCCGAUUGACCUGAAAAUUUACAGGCAUAUUCAGGACUUAUAAGGCUACAACUUUCAUGUUUUGAGGAACUUCUGAAUCCGUACGCAACAUCGAGAAAAACAAAACCAAAGUUCGGAUCUUGAACUGUCCUAAUUUCCCAGAUUUGCCGGUUUUGCGCGCCACAACCGUACGGUCCGUUCUUAUGAUUCUUAUGCAAAUUUUCUAACCAAUUUGAUCCCCAACAACCAUACUUAUAUCAGUCUAGGAGUGGUUCGAAAUUCCUUCACAAGUUAGCCCAAAAUCACCAAAUACUAACCAUAAUCCUUAAUCUAGUUUUACUUGCACCAUAGAACUUGUUCUAACAUCCAACUACACAAACCCUAACUCAAUAGCCAUAGGUUAAACUAAACUAACCUAAUGGAGUCUAUGGUUUCUUAACCCAAAUCAGAUUUUUGCUAGAAACCAACCAAUCAAGUGAGGCAAAUUAUCAAACACAACCACUACAAAUCAAUUUCUCAAUCAAAGCAACUAAGGAAAGCAUUAAAGCAAGAAACCCCUAAUUUUUCUCUUCUUGAUCGAAUUUCCAGCAGCAAAACAGCACUAAAAUUAACCAUGAAACUUCAAUAUAAACAUCAAAUCCACCAUAUAAAUCCAUAAUCAUAACAUACCACAUCAUUUCCAUAGUUUAGAAAUUAAAACCCCAACAUUUAUCUUUUAAAGAAGAUAGCAUACCUUCAAGUGAGUUAGGUAGAUGAUCAAUUCUUGACAAUCAAACUCUUAAGUUGUUCCCACAAGAUCCAAAGGCAAGAUGAAAGCUAAAAUUUAAAGAUUUUGGAAGAAUUUUCUCUUCUCUUUCACUCUCUAAAUCUCGGCUCCUCUCUCUCUCUCUUGCUCUCCAAGUUUGUCUUGUUUGUCUUGUGAUUACUUCAUAUUCCUAAGGUGUUAAAUAGUCAAAGACAAGAAAAGAUAUUUGUUAAGCUUAACCAAUCACAUAAAAGUUCCUCAAUUGCACUUUUAACCCUUGCACUCCAACUUUCUCUUUCUUAUACAUUUUCCCUCAAACAUUUGAUAAUCUUUCAAUUUACUCCAUAGGUUCUAGCUUAAUCUAGUUUAAAACACAUAAUCACACUUAAUUAUUUCACUAAUCACUUUCCCAUCUUAAUCACUUAUACUUAAACAUACUUUCUCCAUAAAUAAAACAAUUAAACAACAACUUAUAUAAUAUUAGCAAAAUUAGAAUUUUUAAACCCAACUUAAGCUUUUUAAUAAAUUAUAACACUAAAGGUUUGCUAAUCUAAAGUUUGCUAACCAUUUCAAACGUGCUAAACCUUUGUAAACUAAAACGAAUCAUAUAUUUGUGAGUUUGGGGCCCGAUCUCAUGACCUAGAUGGGCUAUUCGAGCCGGUUCGGACUUGGUCGAAAUCAGUCCAACCUAGUUGAGGUCACCAAGUUUGUGAAUCCGGUUCACCGAGUAUGUGGACCAAGUUUGUGACCCGAGCUUGUGAGCCAAGCUCAAUUUCGUUCGCUCGAGCAAGUUUGUGAGGUGUCUGGCCAGAGAGGGUGAUAAAGUGUACGGUGGGAAGAACAAGUGGAGUUCUACGGACCAUUAAUUGUGGUCGACGGAGUGUCGGCAGGAGAUCAUACAUGGCACAUGAAUUGGCUUUGGAGCCACCUGUAUCCUUAUUAUGUGAUGUUACUUUUCUGCUUUUGCUUUACUCUUACUGUGUAACUGUUACGUGAAAUUUACGUUUUUGCCCCUGUUUACUUACUAAGCAUAUAGCUUACCCCUUUUCUUUUGUUUUCCUUAGCAGGGGCCGACGCGGGGACUUUUGGCACAUACACUAGUAUAGUUAGCUUUGCUUGUAAUAGUUGAACAAUUAGGAUGUUUGUUUUUGUUGUGGUGGUUUGUAUAAGGACCCUCCUUAGGGUCUACAUUUUGGUUUUGGUUGUAAUGAUAAGGAUGUAAUAGUGUGAGCAGGUACUUUUGGAGAAUGUAAUUAUAACUCUUUUUGGAUUGUAUAUAGUAUGUAUAGUACUCUUUUGGAUUUUCUAUUUUGUGCGGUUAAAUUAAGGUUGUAGGGCUAAGGAGAAACCCUAAUCUCGGCUAAAAUUGAAAACCCUAACUUUGCUUAUGAUUAAACCCUAGUUUAUGUGUUAUUUGUAGGUUCAAGUUAUAGUUCAUGUUUGGUAUUCUAGUGUGUGUUUUGGCCCAAGUAAAAAUAGGAUUCGUUUUAGUUUACAAAGGUUUAGCAAGGUUGAUAUGGUUAGCAAACCUUAGAUUAGUAAACCUUUAGUGUUAUAAAUUAUUAGAAAACUUAAGUUGGGUUUAAAAACCCUAAUUUUGCCAAUAUUAUAAAAGUUGAUGUUUAAUUGUUUUAUUUAUGGAGAAAGUAUGUUUAAAUAUAAGUGAUUAAGAUGGGAAAGUGAUUAGUGAAAUAAUUAAGUGUGAUUAUGUGUUUUAAACUAAAUUAAGCUAAAACCUAUGGAGUAAAUUGAAAGAUUAUCAAAUGUUUGAGGGAAAAUGUAUAAGAAAGAGAAAGUUGGAGUGCAAGGGUUAAAAGUGCAAUUGAGGAACUUUUAUGUGAUUGGUUAAGCUUAACAAAUAUCAUUUCUUGUCUUUGACUAUUUAACACCUUAGGAAUAUGAAGUAAUCACAAGACAAACAAGACAAACUUGGAGAGCAAGAGCGAGAGAGAGGAGCCGAGAUUUAGAGAGAAUUCUUCAAAAAUCUUUAAAUUUUAGCUUUCAUCUUGCCUUUGGAUCUUGUGUGAACAACUUAAGAGGUUGAUUGUCAAGAAUUGAUCAUCUACCUAACUCACUUGAAGGUAUGCUAUCUUCUUUAAAAGAUAAAUGUUGGGGUUUUAAUUUCUAAGCUAUGGAAAUGAUGUAGUAUGUUAUGAUUAUGGAUUUAUAUGGUGGAUUUGAUAUUUAUAUUGAAGUUUCAUGGUUAAUUUUAGUGUUGUUUUGCUGCUGGAAAUUCGAUCAAGAAGAGAAAAAUUAGGGGUUUCUUGCUUUAAUGCUUUCCCUAGUUGCUUUGAUUGAGAAAUUGAUUUGUAGUGAUUGUGUUUGAUAAUUUGCCUCACUUGAUUGGUUGGUUUCUAGCAAAAAUCUGAUUUGGGUUAAGAAACCCUAGACUCCAUUAGGUUAGCUUAGUUUAGCCUAUGGCUAUUGAGUUAGGGUUUGUGUAGUUGGAUGUUAGAACAAGUUCUAUGGUGCAAGUAAAACUAGAUUAAGGAUUAUGGUUAGUAUUUGGUGAUUUUGGGCUAACUUGUGAAGGAAUUUCGGACCACUCCUAAACUGAUAUAAGUAUGGUUGUUGGGGAUCAAAUUGGUUAGAAAAUUUACAUAAGAAUCAUAAGAACGGACCGUACGGUUGUGGCGCGCAAAACCGGCAAAUCUGGGAAACUAGGACAGUUCAGGAUCCGAACUUUGGCUUUGUUUUUCUCAAUGUUGCGUACGGAUUCAGAAGUUCCUCAAAACAUGAAAGUUGUAGCCUUAUAAGUCCUGAAUAUGCCUGUAAAUUUCAGGUCAAUCGGAUUAGCGUAUCCGGAGUUAUAGAUGAAAUACUCAAGUCUGUUUUGAACAUCAGAUUCUGUGCGUUUUUUGUUUAGCUUCUGAUCAUGACUUUUUCGAUUUUGAUCCCGUACGAUCUGGGUGUCAACUCCUUCAUAAGAAAUGUAGAUCUUGGUCUCAGCUUCGAAACGGUAUAAAGUGCGUCGAAAUCCGAGAUCCGUAGCUUCCGUUAUGACCAAAAUAAGAUUGAUCGUCAGAACUGCCUUUGAUCUGGACAGUUCUGACGGGUACUUUGACACUCAAAUUUCGUUCUGUUCUGAGUGGAUUCAGGUCUUGGCCAAAACAUCAAAGUUUUAGCCUUAUGUCUCAGCUUUCUAAUGCCUUUGGAAUUUCCUGAUUUGGUUUUGUGAGUUGGGAGUUAUGGUUCAGCAAACAUACCCUGUCUGUCACUCUAAAGUGCGAAUUUCUGGAACAGUUUUCAAUACUUUCGACCUAUUUCCGUUUAGAUCCGGAGUUAGGUGUCUUCAUGAAAGUUAUACACUUUUCUCUUAGCUUCGCAACGGUACCUCAUGUACCUUGAUCCGACACUCGUAGUUUCGAUUAGGCUCAAAACAGUUUUGACAGCAAAAUGGCUAGGCCGCCAUUUCCGUUUCCAUAUGCCGUUUCCGCACUCGUAUGUGCCGAUUUUGCCGUUUUGCUUGUUUUAUGUAUAUUAGUAGCCGUUUAUGAUCUUAUGUGAUGCAAUCUUCUAUUUCAGACGAUGGUAAGCUAGGUGGAGCCGGUGGGGCCUACUAGCUACUCUUCGCGGCACAAAUUUCAAAUUUUUGCUCUUUUGUUCGUUGAGUAAGUAUUCAGGCCGAUCUUACGUGUUAGUUGCUUAUGUGUUUCGAUAUGUAUGAAAAGGGUACCUAGGCGAGGGUGUAUUUUAUCGCACUCGACCUAAACCCUAAUUUGCGUACAUAUUUGUACAUGACAUAUGUAUAUGAAUCAUUUUGGAACUAAACCCCUUGAGCUUGUGGCUCGGGGUGACUUUUGAAUAAAUUUUGUGAAGUUUGUGAGUUUGGGGCCCGAUCUCAUGACCUAGAUGGGCUAUUCGAGCCGAUUAGGGCUUGGUCGAAAUCAGUCCAACCUAGUUGAGGUCACCAAGUUUGUGAAU